rnacentral:rRNA from 1 species
AUUGAACGCUGGCGGCAGGCCUAACACAUGCAAGUCGAACGAGAGGCGGAAGGGUGAGCAAUGUCUGGGAAACUGCCCGAGGGAGGGGGACAACUACUGGAAGCGGUAGCCACAACCGAUUACCUUCGCAUGUGCCCAGAUGGGAUAAGCUAGUAGGUGGGGUAAAGGCACACCUAGGCGACGAUCCCUAGCUGGUCUGAGAGGAUGACCAGCCACACUGGAACUGAGACACGGUCCAGACUCCUACGGGAGGCAGCAGUGGGGAAUAUUGCACAAGGGGCGAAAGCCUGAUGCAGCCAUGCCGCGUGUAUGAAGAGGGCCUUCGGGUGGUAAAGUACUUUCAGCGGGGAGGCGUUACCCGCAGAAGAAGCAACGGCUAACUACGUGCCAGCAGCCGCGGUAAUAC